rnacentral:rRNA from 1 species
AUUGAACGCUGGCGGCAUGCCUUACACAUGCGAGUCGAACGGCAGCACGGGUGCUUGCACCUGGUGGCGAGUGGCGAACGGGUGAGUAAUACAUCGGAACAUGUCCUGUAGUGGGGGGUAGCCCGGCGAAAGCCGGAUUAAUACCGCAUACGAUCUACGGAUGAAAGCGGGGGACCUUCGGGCCUCGCGCUAUAGGGUUGGCCGAUGGCUGAUUAGCUAGUUGGUGGGGUAAAGGCCUACCAAGGCGACGAUCAGUAGCUGGUCUGAGAGGACGACCAGCCACACUGGGACUGAGACACGGCCCAGACUCCUACGGGAGGCAGCAGUGGGGAAUUUUGGACAAUGGGCGAAAGCCUGAUCCAGCAAUGCCGCGUGUGUGAAGAAGGCCUUCGGGUUGUAAAGCACUUUUGUCCGGAAAGAAAUCCUUGGCCCUAAUACGGUCGGGGGAUGACGGUACCGGAAGAAUAAGCACCGGCUAACUACGUG